GACCAUCGUGCUGGGGGUCAAAUGCUACAGAGCUCGAGCUAAACCUGAUGAGCAGAGCAGAACAUAAGCAAUGAUGGAAGCUGAAACAUCUUGAGUGCUGAAUGCCAGGAACUCCUGGUUUGGGUUUUAAGGAGUGAAGACAGAAAAGGACCUGAAUACAUUUAGACUGUCAGAAUUAUUUUUAGAAGAAGAAAAAAAUCUCUCAUGCAUUAAAAUGUAAAUCCUCUGUCUCUUUUUAUGAUCC